UACGUAGGGUGCGAGCGUUAAUCGGAAUUACUGGGCGUAAAGCGUGCGCAGGCGGUUUUGUAAGCCAGAUGUGAAAUCCCCGGGCUUAACCUGGGAAUGGCAUUUGGGACUGCAAGGCUUGAGUGCGGCAGAGGAGACUGGAAUUCCUGGUGUAGCAGUGAAAUGCGUAGAUAUCAGGAGGAACACCGAUGGCGAAGGCGGGUCUCUGGACAGUUCCUGACGCUGAGACACGAAAGCCAGGGGAGCGAACGGG
rnacentral:rRNA from 1 species